CCUACGGGAGGCUGCAGUCGAGAAUCAUUCACAAUGGGGGAAACCCUGAUGCUGCGACGCCGCGUGGGGGAAUGAAGGUCUUCGGAUUGUAAACCCCUGUCAUGUGGGAGCAAAUUAAAAAGAUAGUACCACAAGAGGAAGAGACGGCUAACUCUGUGCCAGCAGCCGCGGUAAUACAGAGGUCUCAAGCGUUGUUCGGAAUCAAUGGGCGUAAAGCGUGCGUAGGCUGUUUCGUAAGUCGUGUGUGAAAGGCGCGGGCUCAACCCGCGGACGGCGCAUGAUACGGCGAGACUAGAGUAAGGGAGGGGGAACCGGAAUUCCCGGUGUAGCAGUGAAAUGCGUAGAUAUCGAGAGGAACACUCGUGGCGAAGGCGGGUUCCUGGACAUUAACUGACGCUGAGGCGCGAAGGCCAGGGGAGCGAAAGGGAUUAGAUACCCCUGUAGUC
rnacentral:rRNA from 1 species